rnacentral:rRNA from 1 species
UACAGAGGUCUCAAGCGUUGUUCGGAUUCAUUGGGCGUAAAGGGUGCGUAGGCGGCGCGGUAAGUCGGGUGUGAAAUCUCGGGGCUUAACUCCGAAACUGCAUUCGAUACUGCCGUGCUUGAGGACUGGAGAGGAGACUGGAAUUUACGGUGUAGCGGUGAAAUGCGUAGAUAUCGUAAGGAAGACCAGUGGCGAAGGCGGCUUCCUGGACCGACACUGACGCUGAUGCGCGAAAGCUAGGGGAGCAAACGGG